GAGAUUUGGGGAUUGAGAAGGUGAGGUUUGGGAAUUGAGAAGGUGAGGUUUGGGGAUUGAGAAGGUGAGGUUUGGGAAUUCAGAGAGAUUUGGGGAUUCAGAAAGUGAGAUUUGAGAAUUCAAAAAGAUUUGGGAGUUCAGAAAGUGAGAUUUGAGAAUUCAGAAAGAGAUUUGGGGAUUCAGAAGGUGAGAUAAGGGGAGCUGUGAGAGGGUGAGAUUGUGUAACCAGCCCUCAAUAAAUGUCACGGUCCCAAGGCUGG